UUUCUUCUGAUACGGCUCAAAUUUGUAAUUACAGGAACUGGCUCCUCCUGGGCUGUACCUGGGGUAAGAGGCUCAGAGGCUGUCCUGACAUCGCUGUGACCACAGUUUCACYAGCCUGAUGCAGUGCGUGCUUAUCAUCAUCUGAAAUUUCUGCUACUGGAAAGAGGGAAUCAUUCAGAAGACUUUGCUCUAGGGGGAUGCGUCGUUSCUGUAAACCUGCCAGCAAGUCAGAGCAGCGUCCCUCUGAGUCAAGUUCAUGGCUUGCCCCAGUGCCGCCUACCUCUCGAGCRUCCUGCUUAACCUCACAGCUGGCCGCCGCUACACAGCUGCCCAUCUCUGGAGCUGCUCAGCAAAACACACGCCAAGGAAAGCUGUGGGUUUCUGUCAGCUGGCGCGCCUACCACUGCGUCCUGGAGAGCCUGGAAGCACCCGGGCCUGGAGAGCAGAGGGAAGCCCCGUGCCCGCGGCACCACCCGCCCUCUGGUCUGUAGCUACCGCCGUCGUUUCCUCGUGGCGUUUGGGCUCUUGAGACGGGGCUCCGCGCUGGCCGUGCGGAUGGAGCCGGAGGGCAGAGCUCCC
rnacentral:lncRNA from 1 species